rnacentral:rRNA from 1 species
UACGUAGGGGGCUAGCGUUGUCCGGAAUCAUUGGGCGUAAAGCGCGUGUAGGCGGCCCGGUAAGUCCGCUGUGAAAGUCGGGGGCUCAACCCUCGAAUGCCGGUGGAUACUGUCGGGCUCGAGUACGGGAGAGGCGAGUGGAAUUCCUGGUGUAGCGGUGAAAUGCGCAGAUAUCAGGAGGAACACCAAUGGCGAAGGCAGCUCGCUGGGACGGUACUGACGCUGAGGCGCGAAAGCGUGGGGAGCAAACAGG